GUGCUCACACUGGCAGCAUGUAUACUAAAAUUGGAAGGCUACAGAGAAGAUUAGCAUGCUCCCGUGCCAGAUGACAUGCAAAUUUGUGAAGCAUUCCAUAUUAAA